CUUACCUGUUUAGAUGAUGCUGGACUUUGGAUUAGGAGUCAAGGAAGGAAAACCCAAGAAAAUCUUUCUUCUUCUUAGUUCAAGUGGAAAUCACUUACCACAGAUGAAUGGGUUGUUGUCCUCAGCUCAGAAGAAA